UGGAAAAACAUUGCAUUGGUGACUCGAAAACUCUUGCAGUAAAAAUUUCAUAAUAUAAUAAUUUUAUUUUAUUUAGUUGCAUAUUUUCCCUUGAAAAUACAACAGCAAACGUCCAAAAGGAGUCAGUCAUCUAAACUAGAACAAGUGGAAACACCAUAGCUCGCCCAACUCGACAAAUAUAAAAAUGAGCUAAUUCAUGGACGAUAGUGGAAUUGUAUUCUUCCGUCCAAGACGUCUAUCCCCGGAAAAAUGAUGAAAAUGAAAAUUCCACAUGGUAGCCUUUGAAAGAAAGCACAGAACUGUCUCUAUGCAUGGGACAUAGUUCACAUUACAUCGACCAACGUUAUAACCAUAAGAAAGAUAAUUCAGCAUGUGACAUUUAACAGAUAUUGAAAGACUAGCCGGAUGUUUUUUUGAUGAAAGUGCAAUUGAUAGUAAAAUUGUAACAAUGUGGGAAAACCUACUGAUUUAUUUCGAGGAUCUGAAGUACCUACCUUGCAAGAAUACUGGCUCGUCUAAAACACUGCCGAACAAACGGACGAGAUGACAUACAUUUGUAUUCAUUAUAAUCAUCGAUGUGAUAUGAAGUAAUUCAAUUGGCAGAUGAAUGAAAUUAUGGAUACAGUACUGUAACGGUCAUAACAAGUGACCGGGUAUUGCAGUGGCAAUACAGAAGUCGGUAGAAAACUUUGUUAGUGUUUGUCCCUUGUGGUUGCUUACAACAGUGUUAGUCAUUUACACUUGAAUCAUAUGCUACUGCUACUUUGGCCUCUGAUUAAUAGGCAUGGGUCAUGCAAGCAACACAAGCAAUAUAUCGUUUGAGUGUGUAUAAAAAUGCUUCAAGGCAUUUAGAAGCUAAGGAAAACAAAAACUGAUUUUACUUUAAUUUCAAUAGUGACCUUGACCUUUGACCACCGGGCAUGGGUCAUGUAUGCGAAAUAUUUUCUGGUCACGAGGAAACUUUGCUUGUAGUGGUAAGAAACUACUUCAAUGCAUAUACAAGUUAUGGAGUGGAAACAAGUUUUUACUUGACCUUAAACUGUGAGCUUGCCCUUUAACCGACAAGCAUAGAUCAUGAAUUGACACAUUGUCUCGUCAUGGGGAACGUUUGUGUAUAGCACUAAUAUAAUCCAUCGAUGCAUAUAAAAUUAUGGAGCAGAAACAAUUUUAACUUGACCUUCAAUAUGACAUUGAACUAUGGCCUACAAUCAUAAGUGGUGUACAUGCAUAAUUUUUGCCCUCUAUUCACAUACCAAGGUAUACGAACCUAGCUUGAAAACUAUUUGAGUAAUUGCAGGAUCCAGAUUUGCGGACGGACAUACGGACGGACGGACGGACGGAGGGCAUUCCUAUAGUCUCCCUCGAUGUUCCACCGGUAGGGGACUAACAAAUAUAGUAGAUAGAUAUUUACCCUAUGCCAAUGACUUAUAUAGUUCAACAACGAAUAAUUUUAACUCGAUAAACUGAUAACGAUUGAAAUGACAAGUACAUCAAUGUCAAGGACAUCAAUUAGGUAACAAUGGACUUACUUCACAGCAAAAGCUCUCUCACGACAUCAGGAAGAGGACGUUUAGAUAAAAAGCACAGAAACAUAUAAUUAUACUUUUAGAUAUAUGCAAGUAAACCAAUAAUAAAAUAUUUAAACUAUAAUUUUUAUUAGAGAUACAUAUGGUGGUAAUCUUCAGCAAGUUAUGCUUGUGUACUGACUAAACAUGGCCUGUACAAAUUACAAAUCGAAACGUAGAUAAAACUCGUUGUUGGUUCAGUAAUAUCUACUUACAGACCAAUUUUUAAUCUACCUUUAUGCGGAGAAAGAUAUGUUUUUCAAUUCAUGUAUAUAGUACUCAGAUUUACGAAAAUAUUUGUUUAAAUACAGAAUGCAGAUUCACCUUUUUAAAUGUAUUCAGUCACAUGUACUCGAAAUAUAUUGUUUUUAUUUUUGAUUAAAAAACUAAAUGGACUAUAGUGAAUAGUUACUUGAUACUAGAAAAAAAUCUCGUAAGUGUCUUGAUGAGACAGGCCCCUUUAAUUCCACGAAGAAGUAGGAAAGACUUCCGACAGAUUACUGAGAUUAUUGUGUUUGUAGUUAUUAAGAAAAUUUGCCUGUUUAACAUUUUCUUCUUUGUAGGGAUCAGACUUUUUUUCAGAUGAUUUAAUCUACUAAAUUUGUAAUUUUAUUCUCCUGUAUAUAUUAUAUUUCCUCAGUAAUAACUUAAGAGAAAUAACUAUUUAUCAUAUUCAUUUAUCCAAAGCUUUUCCUACAUUUUUGCACCAACUGCAGUUUGUUUGCAAAAGGAUUGCAAAGUCAAGAAUACAAAAUGAAAUACAACUUUUGCAUUCUUUUCUUUUCUUACACCACUUAAUCCGUCACAUAUUUUUAAGAUGAGAAGUAUAAUAAAAUUAAUACCUAAAGGAGGUCUUCUUUUGAUAACAUAGAAUUUACAGCUUAUAAUUCAAAACUAAUUCCCUUCAGCAAACAUUUUGAACUAUGUUAAACGUUUAGGAUUAAGCUAUUUAUCAUUCAAGUAUCGGAUUAUAUCUGAUAUAUUUCCCUUUCAAUAACUGAUUCUUUCGUUUAUGAUACAUAAAAUCUUAAAGUUAGCAAUAAUUACAUGGUUAUCCAACAGCUUUUGUUUACACUUUCAUAACUUGUAAAUGGGAUGUGAUUCUAUAUUUUCAAACUGUAUCGGGUGAAAGAUCACGAUUGUUUUAUAUAUAACAUUAAUAUUGAUACUUUGAUUUUCGUUAAUUGCCGCUGAUUUUCGCAAACAGAGCUCGUGUAUAAAACAGUCAUGCAUAACUUCCAAAUGAACUACUGUCUAUACAAUACUAUAAAAUACAAUGCAGUGCAGUGCAGUGCGGUACGGUGCUGUUAUGUGCGGUGCAGUACAGUAAGGUAAGGUACGGUACGGUACGGUUAGGUAGGGUACGAUACGGUACAGUGCAAAUACACAGAUGCAAAUGCAAAUGCAUCGCAAGGCAAUACAAUACAAUACAAUACAAUACAAUACAAUACAAUACAAUACGAUACGAUACGAUACGAUACGAUACGAUACGAUACUAUAUGAUACGAUACGAUACGAUACGAUACGAUACGAUACAUAUAUUAUAAGGUCGUUGACAGUUGUUAUACUUAACAUGUAAACAAUGCAGUUUACAGAACGUAACACUUGUGAAUAUUGACUGUUGUAAUCACAAAAUGUUUGUACAUUUAGAGAUUCAUAUCUUUCGUUAAAUAAUUAAUACUAAAAUACAAAGUAAGUAUAUAACUUUCGGAUAUGAAUAAUACGCGAUCGCGAUCAACAAGAAACAGUUUAACGAAUUCAAGUUCAUAAAAACGUGAUAAAAGAUUGAAAUAUUUUAUGCCAGUUAAGUUUAACUUAUCAAUUUGUUAUAUAACUAUGUUAUCAGAAAAUAUGUCCUGUGAUAUCUGAAAAUUUUUAGAACGUUGCUCGUAUCAGCAUGUUCGCAAAUCAAUUAUAGUACAAACAGAUUUUCAGUUUAGUGUCCUGAAACCGAUAUUUUACUCGUUCUUUUAUCGUAAAGCACAACGGAAAUGCUGUACGAUGCAGUUCUGGGUACAUGCAAUAUAUAAGCUGGUAGUUUUCAGAAUGGUUUUUAUUCAGUAUUUUUUACUCACAAUUGUGACAAGGCAUUUUCACAGAAUUUUCAAGUUUUCCAUCCCUUAACUCAUAGGUUUCAUUUUAAAUAUCCUAGAUGUUUCAUUAAGUGCAUCCUACUAACAUUCUUACAUUCUGUAAGUCAUACUGGCUUGUGUGUAAAUUAGGCUUUAUUAAAUAUUUGCUUUCCUUAAAUUCCAAAUUCCAUCAUUUACAAGAAGAUUACAAUAAUCAAUUCACGGCCUUUAUUAUAAGAGCUUUAUACUCGUAAGGCUGUAUUGGGCUAACUCCUUCUUUUGAUUAGUGCCAAAUCAAAGGUAUUCCCGUCUAACUUAUGCAAUGCUCUUUCCAAUGGCACAUGCAAUGCACAUUUGUAACCGUGAGCAGCAUCACGUGAAAUAUAGCAUAUUGUGGCCAGGUUUCCUGAAUUAAAGAACUGGAUGUAUUUUAUAUGCAUUUCUAUUUCAUUGGUUAUUUGUUAUGUUUUCCACGAAUAAAUAAUUCUUGUUAAAUGAAUCAAUGCUUGAAGCUACUUAACACAAACGGAUCUUAAUAUUACCUAAUGAUUUGAAGCCAUUAUAAACGGAAACGACCAUCAUCAAAUUUGAUAAAAAAUGAUAUUAUUUUAAUGUGCAUACCUGAUCAGCAUUUCCAAACUUAAAUGGGACGAAGACGUAAAUAAUGGUGUUAAGAAAUGUUUUUCACUUUUUAUAACCGUUUCAUAACCGUUCACUUUUUACACAGAUUAAUCUAGAUUAAACUCGAACUUACAAAAAAAGUGAACGGUUAUGGUAAACAUUUCUUAACACCAUUAUUUACGUCUUCGUCCCAUGGUAUUACAUUAAACACGCAUUGGCAAUACGGACACGUCUCACUAUUUGUGCGAUUUGUGCCAUUUUACCUCACUUUAGUGUCCUUAAACCGAUGUUUUACUCGUUGCUAUCCUAAAACUCAACGAAGUGCUUAGUACAUACGAUACAUACUAUAAGCUGAUAAAUUUCAAAAUUGCUUUUAUUCGAAACCUUUUCUCACAAUUGCUUCGACGCAUUUUCGCCGGAACUUCAAAUGUUCCAUCUCUGUCCCAUAAUUGUCAGUCUUAAAUUUCCUAGAUAGUUCAUGUUCGGUGUCCUCCUUUCAUUCGAACAUUCUGUGAAUAAUACUGGAAUGUCUGUGAAUACGGCCUUAUCCGUAAUUCCAAAUUCUAUAAUUCAAACAAUCAUCAAUUUACGAUCCUGAUUAUGAGAGCGUUAUACUCAUAAGGCUGACCUGGGCUUUCUGUCUUGCCUAGCGCCAGAUCAAAGGUGUCCCCGUCUAGCUUGUUCCAUGCUCUUCUCUGAGACACAGUUUACAUUUAAACGCACGUUUGCACGCGUAAGCUGUAUCACGUGAAAUAUAGCGUAAUUUUGCCGUGGUUUGUUUUUUGAAUAGAAGAACGAUAUGGAUGUAUUAUAAAAAUUGGCUAAUUUUGUUUAUAGAACUAAGGAUUUCCACGAUUUAGUAAUUGUUGUAUAAAAUAAAUGAAUGCUUGACUCGAUUUCCCCAGCUCCGCAGAGGCGGACGGUUCCAUUACACAGAAACUCCCCGAUAAAAUCCAGUAAGAGCAGUGCUUCCCUUUUCUUUUCAAAUAUCGCUUCAAGUAUUUUUCCUGUAGACCUAUUAGGAUUUAAUCGGAAAUGUCUCAUUCAUUGUUGUUAUAAAAGUGCACAUGUAAUUUGUUAAAGAGAAAAACCGACAAACAUUAACAGUCCAUCCUUGUUUAUGUAUUCCAUAUAAUACUUAUAUUUUCUUCAAGCUUUGAUUUGUUUACUGUUUAAUAAAUAAUACGUACCUCAAUACUGCAUACUACGAUACACAAAAUAUUCAUUUUAAGAAACAGAUACCUCUAACAUCAUUUUUAUUCUUAAAUUUAAAUUGUGUCAUAAAAAUUAAAUUAUUUUAAUGUACACAUCUGAUCAGCAUUUCCAAACUUAAAAACCGUUCGACAUUCAUAAGACGAAGAAAUAUAUUAUAAUUUGAAUGCGGGUAAAAGGCUCGUUUGGACAGAAUCAAAUUAUAAUCAGUAAAGAGAAUGAUCAAUUGUGUAUGAGUAUAUAUUUUUAUAUUUCAUGACCUUUAUGUUAGUUAAAACGCGUGACCUUGCCGUAGCAUAAAUAUCGUAUUUUCGUAACUGUUUUUCCAGAUGAAAAUAGCUUAGAGGCCUCUUAGGCCAAGUGGUUAAGGUCGCUGACUUCAAAUCGCUUGCCCUCACCGAUGUCAGUUCGAACCUCGCAAGUGCGAAAGUCAUCCAGCUGGCUUACGAAAUGUCGUUGGUUCUACACGGAUGUACGCCCGUAAUGAAAUAAUGCACGGUUGGGCACCGGGGAUCUUCGUCUACCGUCAAAAGUUAUAGUAGUGUUGGUGCGACGUUAAACCAAAAAAAAAAAAUAAUAAAAAAUAAGAUGGGGGAAAAAAAAAGAAAAUAACUUAAAUAUAUAUAUGUAUCUGGUAAAAACGGGAACUUUCACGUCGACUUUCUUAUACAUAUGUAUAUCUAAACAAACUGUUAGGCUUUGAUGUAAGUACAGCCUUUUAAAUAAUUUUUGCAGAAACAAAACUUUUGUUCUGAUUUUGCUACAUGUGACUUUGUACGGUAUAUACGAUAUAAUAAAGUACAGAAUGAAUUUCUCAUUAUUUUUGUAAACUCAUUCAAUAUUGGUACUGAAAAUGUCUACGCUUAUGUAUUAGAUGGCUAAUGAAUUGAUAUGAUGUUAAAUGAGUAAUCCAUGAUGUGUUAAGGUUUACAAUUAACAUGUACUUUAUUUAUUAGUUGUCACGGGAUGCACACACGCGCGUAUUUUCUUUUCUUUUGUUACCAAAUGACAUAUCUAUCGUAUUUUUGCAUUGUAUGUUUAAUAUUUGUUUCUAACAAUAAGCAUAUAGGUCUCAGCUUUGCGUUCGCAGUUUCAUGGCUGAAACAAUCUUAUCUUAGUUUCAUUUCCAAAGUAGGUUCAGUGUCAUUCCAAAAGUAAU